rnacentral:lncRNA from 1 species
AACAUUUCAGUUAUUAAUGACGCUUGGAUUCUAGAUGCAAGAAAUUUCAGAUUAUCUUCAGCUACUUUUAAUACGUGAGAUUAUUAAGUUACUGAGUUAAUUAAUAAUAAUGAAAGGAAAUGGAAAAGAGAGAUGAUUGUCAAUACUUUUCCGGAAGAAAAAGUAGAAAAGAUACUCCGUAUCCCUUUGACGAAAGAACCUCAUGAUGAUUUCUUAGCGUGGAGCGGUGAACCUUCAGGAGAAUACUCGAUUCGUAAUACCUAUAAACUACUACAAAUUUCUGAUCCUAGAGCUUAUACUUUACAAACCGACUACAGAGAUUUUUACAAAAAAAAACUAUGGCUUCUAAAUCUACCUACAAAAAUUAAGAUUACAACUUGGAAAAUUUCAUGGAAUUAUUUGCCUACACGUGUUAAUAUGCAACACAGGAAGCUAGCAAACAGUUCAACAUGCCCCUAAUGUGGAGAAGGAGUAGAAACUAUGGAUCACCUCUUCCGUGAAUGCCCUGUUUCAGUGUCAGUUUGGAGAGCAUUAUCAAUCCUGAAUUUUAUACAUGAACCUAGUUUAGAGUUUUUACAGUGGCUCACCUAGGUCUUCACUCACUAUCCUCCCUCUCAACGUAAACUAUUUUGUUGUGAGCUAUGGGCUAUCUGGGGAGAUAGAAACGCUCGAAUACAUAACAAGAUAAGAAAAAAUGGUCAGGAGAUAGCAAGUUUUGUACACAGUUAUAUUAAAGAACUAAACGGUGUUGAAAAAAGAAUUCCCAAAAUUUCAAAGGAAGUAAAAAAAUGGAAAUACCCACCUGGUCUGUCACUGAAAAUAAACUUCGAUAGAGCAUAUGAUGAGUGACAUCUUCAAUGGGCUUCGGGGAUUGUGGUCAGAAACAGUGAAGGGUUCGUCCUCCCAUCUUGCUCAGAAAUUCAUCACGGAGUGUCCUCCACCUUCGCUGCUGAAGCGCUCGCUUGCCGUAAAGCAGCCCAAAUAGGAAUCGACAUGCAAUGGCCGAAAAUUAUAAUUGAAGGUGACUCAUUAUCAAUAAUCAAAAAAUGAAGACAAACAGGCAUGAUAAAUCGCAGGUAGGGGCAUAUAUACAUGAUAUUCAACAAUUAACGUCUAGAUAUAGAAAUUUAAGGUUUGAAUAUACCCCAAGAUCAACAAAUGGUUUAGCUCAUAUACUAGCAACAGAAUCAUUAAAGAAGAAGGAGGAGGUGUACCUGGUAGAAAGCGUCCCUAGAUAUGCUGAAAAUCAGAAGGAAACUGAUAGCGUGAGAGAACCAAAUUGAAGAUGAAAGGAGAUGGAGAGAAAGAGAGGAUAGUUUCAAAAUUAUCAAAUCAAUAGUUUUUUGGUGAUAAAAGCUUUCCUUGAAAAUUGAAAACGCCAUUAAGAAAGAAAUGAAAAAAAUGAUAGAAUAAUAGGCGUCAGAGUUC